rnacentral:rRNA from 1 species
AUGUGGCGUGUGGAGCGACCUGACGCGGCCGCUGAAGCUGGCCUUCCGCUUAGCCGUUGUGGGCACGUACAAGGCCGAGGCGAGCACCAUCAACUUCUGCGGCACGCCGGAGGAAGCGCGCCACCAGAUCAACGCGUGGGCGGCUCAGGUGACGAGGAACCUCAUCGACUCCGUCCUCCCCCUAGAUCGAUAUAUCCGACGACGACUCGGGUCGUGCUCGGCAACGCCAUGUACGCUAAGGGCAAGUGGGAGGACCGGUCAUUCGACAGGAGGCACACCGCGCACAAACCCUUCUGCCGGCUCGACUGCAGCCAAGUUAACAUGUGGUUCAUGCAGAGUUGGAAGCCGCGGUUCGUCGCCAUGCAUGAUGGGUUCAAGGUGCUCAAACUCCGGUACAAGAUGACGACGCCAGAUCACGAGGGCACCACACUGGAACAGGCGCCCCCUCCUCCUUUGGGCCAUGGUCACCAUGGCGUCCACGGCCAUGGUGCUCCCUAUGUCCAUUGCCAUGUGAGUGAUGCGUACAACGAUGGGGGUCCAUCUCCAAAUUAUCUUCCCACGGGACCCCCACCAUACUUUCGUCAUCGUCGUCACGACCCCCCUCCCUAG